rnacentral:rRNA from 1 species
CUGAACAAGCCAUGUUACCCUGAACAAGCCUGAUCCUGUCUGACCUUGGAAGCCAAGCAGGGUGGGGCCUGGUUAGUACUUGGAUGGGAGACCACCUAGGAAGACUAGGCGCUGUAGGUG